rnacentral:rRNA from 1 species
GAUGAACGCUGGCGGCGUGCCUAAUACAUGCAAGUCGUACGGAAAGGCCCUUCGGGGUACUCGAGUGGCGGACGGCUGAGUAACGCGUGGGAACGUGCCCCAAAGUGAGGGAUAACGCACCGAAAGGUGUGCUAAUACCGCAUAUGGUCUUCGGAUUAAAGCUUCGGCGCUUUGGGAGGGGCCCGCGUACGAUUAGAUAGUUGGUGAGGUAAUGGCCCACCAAGUCGACGAUCGUUAGCUGGUCUGAGAGGAUGAUCAGCCAGAGUGGGACUGAGACACGGACCAGACUCCUACGGGAGGCAGCAGUAAGGAAUCUUCCACAAUGGGGGCAACCCUGAUGGAGCAACGCCGCGUGCAGGAUGAAGGUUUUCGGAUCGUAAACUGCUUUUGUAAGUGAAGAUUAUGACGGUAACUUAUGAAUAAGGAUCGGCUAACUACGUGCCAGCCGCCGCGGCAA